GAUUAAGACACUGUCCCAGGCCUCGAGCCCCACAAAACACAGGGGAAGCGCCAUGCUAUGCAGCCAGCGAUCAUUUUACCUUUUAAGACCUCUGAGAGAGACACCCACUGGAAAGGGGUGCACAGGACCCCAGAGGAUCAACUAACCCAGUGUGGGGGGGUCAGGGAAAGCUUCAUAGAGGCCGUGACCCUUAGGGCAAAUCUUGAGAGGAAGAUGGCCAGGCAGAGGAAAUGGGAAAGUCUGUUCCAGCACCAUAUUUGCUAGAUUCUUGGCACUUUAUGUAUAGCAUCUCCUUUAAUCUUCACAACUACCCUGCUGCACAGCAUUUUAGAGGUGCGGAAACUAAGGCUGAGAGGGAUUAAGUUACUUGCCCAAGGAUACACAGAGACAAAGCCAGGACUAACUCAUAACAAAGUGGGAGCAUGUGGUAUAUGGAUCCCACCUUACCCCAGUACUGUGCACUCCUCCUGAUGUUGGAGAGAUUGGGAGGGACCACCUGGCUAGGAUUGCUGGCUCUCCUGACACCUUCUCGUGGCAUCCAUGUGGUUUAUCCAGUUUUCUGAAAAUGAUACCUGCAAUAUAUCAGACAGAGGCUGAUCCAUUAGCUCAGGUUCAUCAGGUCCAGAGGGAAGAUGACAUGGACAGGAACCACAGCUGACCCAUAAUGGACAUUAAG